AUUGAACGCUGGCGGCAGGCCUAACACAUGCAAGUCGAGCGGAUGAAGGGAGCUUGCUCCUGGAUUCAGCGGCGGACGGGUGAGUAAUGCCUAGGAAUCUGCCUGGUGGUGGGGGAUACGGUCCGGAAACGGGCGCUAAUACCGAAUACGUCCUGAGGGAGAAAGUGGGGAAUCUUCGGACCUCACGCUAUCAGAUAAGCCUAGGUCGGAUUAGCUAGUUGGUGGGGUAAAGCCCUACAAAGGCGACGAUCCGUAACUGGUCUGAGAGGAUGAUCAGUCACACUGGAACUGAGACACGGUCCCGACUCCUACGGGAGGCAGCAGUGGGGAAUAUUGGACAAUGGGCGAAAGCCUGAUCCAGCCAUGCCGCGUGUGUGAAGAAGGUCUUCGGAUUGUAAAGCACUUUAAGUUGGGAGGAAGGGCAGUAAGUUAAUACCUUGCUGUUUUGACGUUACCAACAGAAUAAGCACCGGCUAACUUCGUG
rnacentral:rRNA from 1 species